GGCUGCAACUCGCCUACAUGAAGUCGGAAUCGCUAGUAAUCGCGGAUCAGCAUGCCGCGGUGAAUACGUUCCCGGGCCUUGUACACACCGCCCGUCACACCAUGAGAGUUUGUAACACCCAAAGCCGGUGGGGUAACCUUUUGGAGCCAGCCGUCUAAGGUGGGACAGAUGAUUGGGGUGAAGUCGUAACAAGGUAAC
rnacentral:rRNA from 1 species